rnacentral:rRNA from 1 species
UACGUAGGGAGCAAGCGUUGUUCGGAUUUACUGGGCGUAAAGGGCGCGUAGGCGGCGCGGUAAGUCACUUGUGAAAUCUCUGAGCUUAACUCAGAACGGCCAAGUGAUACUGCAGUGCUAGAGUGCAGAAGGGGCAAUCGGAAUUCUUGGUGUAGCGGUGAAAUGCGUAGAUAUCGAGAGGAACACCUGCGGCGAAGGCGGGUUGCUGGGCUGAUACUGACGCUGAGGCGCGAAAGCCAGGGGAGCGAACGGG